UACGUAGGGGGCUAGCGUUGCUCGGAAUCACUGGGCGUAAAGCGCACGUAGGCGGAUCGUUAAGUCAGGGGUGAAAUCCUGGAGCUCAACUCCAGAACUGCCUUUGAUACUGGCGACCUUGAGUUCGGGAGAGGUGAGUGGAACUGCGAGUGUAGAGGUGAAAUUCGUAGAUAUUCGCAAGAACACCAGUGGCGAAGGCGGCUCACUGGCUCGGUACUGACGCUGAGGUGCGAAAGCGUGGGGAGCAAACAAG
rnacentral:rRNA from 1 species